UAAAGAUUUCUGCUGCAUUUGAAAAUUACUCUAUGGAUUUAAGCUGCGAUUUUGCUUAAGUUUGAUAGAUUUUUCUCCUUUUUUUCCUCAACAGAAAGUGGAAAUGCAUAGACGCCAGAUACACUGAGGUGUUUCUGUCUUGUUCAAGGAAAAUCAUUAUAUGAAAUCACAAUCCAGCUUUACCCAUCAUCCUGAGGGCAGGAAGCCUGACUGCAGCAGUUUGAAAAAACGUUAACGCGAAGGAUGCAAACGGGGUGAAUGGAAUUGGGAACUCACUGCUUUUCUGCCCAUAUCCCUUCUUUGCACUUCACUCCCUGGAAUUGC